rnacentral:rRNA from 1 species
CACGUAGUUAGCCGGAGCUUCUUCUGCAGGUACCGUCGUUCUCUUCCCUGCUGAAAGCGGUUUACAACCCGAAGGCCUUCGUCCCGCACGCGGCGUUGCUGCGUCAGGCUUUCGCCCAUUGCGCAAAAUUCCCCACUGCUGCCUCCCGUAGGAGUCUGGGCCGUAUCUCAGUCCCAAUGUGGCCGGUCGACCUCUCAGUCCGGCUACCCAUCGCGGGCUAGGUGGGCCGUUACCCCGCCUACUACCUAAUGGGCCGCGACCCCAUCCCGCACCGUCGGGGCUUUCCCGCCCCCUCAUGCGGAGGGGCGGAGUAUCCGGUAUUAGCUGCCGUUUCCAGCAGUUAUCCCGGGGUGCGGGGCAGGUUGGUCACGUGUUACUCACCCGUUCGCCACUCUAUAUCCGCCCGGAGGCGGUUUAAUCGUUCGACUUGCAUGUGUUAAGCACGCCGCCAGCGUUCAUCCUGAGCCAGGAUCAAACUCU